rnacentral:rRNA from 1 species
UACGUAGGGUCCGAGCGUUGUCCGGAAUUACUGGGCGUAAAGAGCUCGUAGGUGGUUUGUCGCGUUGUCCGUGAAAACUCACAGCUCAACUGUGGGCGUGCGGGCGAUACGGGCAGACUGGAGUACUGCAGGGGAGACUGGAAUCCUGGUGUAGCGGUGGAAUGCGCAGAUAUCAGGAGGAACACCGGUGGCGAAGGCGGGUCUCUGGGCAGUAACUGACGCUGGAGGAGCGAAAGCGUGGGGAGCGAACAGG